rnacentral:rRNA from 1 species
AUUGAACGCUGGCGGCAUGCCUUACACAUGCAAGUCGAACGGUAACAGGUCUUCGGAUGCUGACGAGUGGCGAACGGGUGAGUAAUACAUCGGAACGUGCCUAGUAGUGGGGGAUAACUACUCGAAAGAGUGGCUAAUACCGCAUGAGAUCUACGGAUGAAAGCAGGGGAUCGCAAGACCUUGUGCUACUAGAGCGGCCGAUGGCAGAUUAGGUAGUUGGUGGGAUAAAAGCUUACAAAGCCGACGAUCUGUAGCUGGUCUGAGAGGACGAUCAGCCACACUGGGACUGAGACACGGCCCAGACUCCGACGGGAGGCAGCAGUGGGGAAUUUUGGACAAUGGGCGCAAGCCUGAUCCAGCAAUGCCGCGUGCAGGAUGAAGGCCUUCGGGUUGUAAACUGCUUUUGUACGGAACGAAAAGCCCUGGGUUAAUACCCUGGGGUCAUGACGGUACCGUAAGAAUAAGCACCGGCUAACUACGUGCCAGCAGCCGCCGUAA